CCCGCUGAACUUAAGCAUAUCAAUAAGCGGAGGAAAAGAAACUAACAAGGAUUCCCCUAGUAACUGCGAGUGAAGCGGGAAAAGCUCAAAUUUAAAAUCUGGUGGUCUUUGGCUAUCCGAGUUGUAAUCUAGAGAAGUGUUAUCCGCGCUGGACCGUGUACAAGUCUCCUGGAAUGGAGCGUCAUAGAGGGUGAGAAUCCCGUCUUUGACACGGACUGCCAGGGCUUUGUGAUGCGCUCUCAAAGAGUCGGGUUGUUUGGGAAUGCAGCUCCAAAUGGGUGGUAAAUGCCAUCUAAAGCUAAAUACUGGCGAGAGACCGAUAGCAAACAAGUACCGUGAGGGAAAGAUGAAAAGCACUUUGAAAAGAGAGUGAAACAGUACGUGAAAUUGUUGAAAGGGAAACGCUUGAAGUCAGUCACACCGUUCAGGAUUCAGCCUUGCUUCUGCUUGGUUUACUUCCUGUUGGGUGGGUCAACAUCAGUUUCCAUCAGAGGAAAAAGGCUUCGGGAAGGUGGCAGCAUUCGUGCUGUGUUAUAGCCCUUUGCUGUAUACUUUGAUAGAGACUGAGGACUGCAGCACGCCUUCUGGCUGGGGUUCGCCCACAUACGUGCUUAGGAUGUUGGCAUAAUGGCUCUAAGCGACCCGUCUUGAAACACGG
rnacentral:rRNA from 1 species